rnacentral:rRNA from 1 species
GAUGAACGCUGGCGGCGUGCCUAAUACAUGCAAGUCGAGCGAACAGACGAGGAGCUUGCUCCUCUGACGUUAGCGGCGGACGGGUGAGUAACACGUGGAUAACCUACCUAUAAGACUGGGAUAACUUCGGGAAACCGGAGCUAAUACCGGAUAAUAUAUUGAAUCGCAUGGUUCAAUAGUGAAAGACGGUUUUGCUGUCACUUAUAGAUGGAUCCGCGCCGCAUUCGCUAGUUGGUAAGGUAACGGCUUACCAAGGCAACGAUGCGUAGCCGACCUGAGAGGAUGAUCGGCCACACUGGAACUGAGACACGGUCCAGACUCCUACGGGAGGCAGCAGUAGGGAAUCUUCCGCAAUGGGCGAAAGCCUGACGGAGCAACGCCGCGUGAGUGAUGAAGGUCUUCGGAUCGUAAAACUCUGUUAUUAGGGAAGAACAAAUGUGUAAGUAACUAUGCACGUCUUGACGGUACCUAAUCAGAAAGCCACGGCUAACUACGUG